UUUUUUAAAAAAAAGUUAAAUGGACAUAACAUUUGUCAAUUGGUCAUGUUGAUGUUUUAAUAGAAUAGAUGUAUGUAUAGUUGGGUUUCGUCUUUGAUGGAAGUUAAUUAUUUUAUUAAUUGUCAACGCUUUUAAAAACAUUAUUUUCGUGAGAGGAAGAAAACUGUUUGGUGGGAUAGGUGGUCCCUGGCGGCGAUGACGCCUAAUUUGCCAAUUGGAAGGCCAGAGACCUUCUUUCCAAUUUAUUUUCUCUGUGGAUAACAAUGACGUGGCAUUAAUUUGGCAUAAGCCAGUAUGGCAUUAAUUUGGAACAAUAAUUUUAUUGGUGAAGAAAACCUAUUGAUUUUUUUGUCUUUCAAAUCAAUCAAAUGUAAUAGCUCAUGACGAUAUGUCAUGGGAGUUUUUUUUUUUGAGAAAGUAUGUCAUGGGAGUAUUAAAGCAUCAAAGUGGUGAUCUAAUAAUUUUAAUAGCCUAAAGACAAUUUUAUUUUAAAUGAGCUAUUUUAAUAAAUCCAGAUACGCAAAAAAGGAAUAAUGAAUAUGGAAUGCACGAUCAUAAAUAAUUUUGCUAUUUAUUCUACUAUUAAAAAGUGCAUAAUCCAUAUCAAUACAAUACUAAAAUGGGGAUAAUUUCGAUUCUCAGCUAUGCCACGUCAUCAAAAAUAAUCUUCCAAUCAUAGCUCUUUAUUUUCGGGUUGGGCUUCAAAUCACAAUUGAAUGGGCUUUGUUUCACUUCCGGGUUAUGGUCGAAUGUGUUUCAGUUUUGUCGUUGUUUUGGUUUUAUCUUUUAACUAAGCCUAGAUCUACGGAGACGAAGUCGCGAGUCAGCGAGUCUCUUCUCCUCAUCCCCAAUUCACUUCGUCUUCUCACUUUCAAACCGUCGCUUCUGAGUUUUUUCAUCCUAUUCUUCACAAUCAUUUUCGCAAUCAAUUUCUUCUUAGCGAAGAAGAUGAGGAAGGGAAGCGCGAGAAAGAGGAGAGCCGAGGCAGGGCCACCACUGGUGCCCGAUCCAAGAGAGGAAAUUGGAGGCAAGGAGGUAGAUGUGGGGACGCUUGGUCUUGGAUUUGUCGGCGCCGGAUUCGCGGGGAUAAGAGAGAUCGGCGUCGGAGUGAGGACGGCGGAAGGAGAGAGCGCGAUCGAGCAUCGUCGUCGCGUUGACCCGUAAACCCAUUAACGAGACCUAAUCAGAGAGCGCACCACCAAACCAUACGCUUCCUCUUUCUCUGUUUUCCGUUUCUCCAUCCCUAUUCGUCCUUUCCGAACCUGAGAAACGUGAACGGAGAUGGUACCUUUGUCAUUAUCUCAACAUAAUCUCUGGCCGCCGGAAUCUGUAUCUCCGGUGUUUCGGGGUUACGUAACCGCCACAUCGAAACACGCCUGCGACCAUCUUCGCCGUCACCUCCAACUUGGCUUCCAUAUCUGCUCUUCCCUUCAGGUUCAAGCUAACUUUCUUCUCUUAUAUAUUUCUCCUAAAGUUUUGAACUUUGGAACAAAAAAAGGUUUAAACUUUCUUCACAUGUGUGCUUUGUGAUUAGCUCUUUUGCAAUUCUAAUUGUAAGGUUUCAACUUUCAAUCACGAUCAUAGCUGCUUUCAAAAUUUAUCUCAUUUUUUCUUGGACUCUCUGUCUCUCUGCUUCUUUUGACAGAUACUGCUGCAAGUCUAUGAGACUGCACGAACGGAGUUCUCAAGAAAAGUCGUUGUAUUCAACAGGGCUAAGUUUCUUCACUCCAGAGAUGAUAUCAGAUCUUCGUUAUCUGUAUGUUUCUUUAGUGGAUGAGAGAGUAGGAUAGGUCCUAGAGGUGAGGAGGGGUCAUCAUCAAACCAGGAGACAUCCAAGAGAAACACAAGCAGUGGACGGAGGUGGACCAAUGUCCUCCUUGCCGUUAACGUUAUGUAAUGUGUUUAGUUCUUCUCUCUGUUACAUGUAACAAUAGAUCAUGUCUUUUGGUUUGAGAUGUUGCAUUAGAUAAAUGCUUUAGGCUUAUGGGUUUCAUUCUUGUGUCAUGACAGAAUGUAUAUUGCACAAGUUGCAUCCAAUGGUAGAGUGCUGACAUGGGGAGUCAAGGUAUCAUAUUCAGAGACUUGAUUAAAUACAAGAGGGAAACAAUUUGAUAUCUGAAUAUCUCUGUUCCAUUUCUCUUAAGUCUAUCUCCAAUGAAUUUUUUUGGUUCUUACGAUAAGCCAACUCAUCUAAUAGCUUUUACAGAUAAAACGUUGUUUGUUCUCUUCUCACCGCUUGCUCGAAACAGGUAUGUUAAUUUUUUUUUUUGGUCCUGUGGAAUUUCAGGGCUUUGUUUUUUUUUUAUAAGUUACAAUAUUUAGAUUAAGAGUUUUGAAUUUAAUGAGUUUGGUGGAAGCUCAACGUUGGCUGCAACUCUUACUUGGGACAAUGAACUGUCUUGGAUGCUGGAGAAUACUACUGAAGAACUUAAAGAGACUAUGCUUUAGGUAAACCUAGAACAAAUUCUGCUUUUAAGUUAUUGAAUGGUCUUUACACUAAAGAGAAUUUUGUUGUGUCAGGUUUCUUCUGUUGUUAUGAGGUUACGUAUAGGGAGUCUCUAGAUUUAUAUGUUCUUAGCAAGAAUUAUGUUCCCACAAAAGGAUCGCAUUACAUUGCUGUAAAGAAGGCUUUGGAGAUGAUUAAGCAAAAUAUUUCAUCUCUUAGUAAGGUAGUUUAGUGACCAGUGUCUGUCUCUAUUCUUGCACUGUUAUGAUUAGCUUAACUGAUGCGUUCUGUUAUUGUUUGACAGAGUGAAGGGCAUGAUGCUUAUCAGUUCUCUCUGCAACUAACUGGUGCACCAGCUCUUAAAGGGAACACGAUAUGUAUAUAAGUAGUCUCUUGGUGAAUUAUGUUUGAUUCACAUAUCUUGAAGAAAUUUUUGUUAAAGAUAUUUGCAUUUUGUUUGACAUACAUCUUUGUGCAAUCACCUGAGAGGAUUUUCCAAAGGAACCGGUUAGGCGUCCGCAGUGAAGCUUUGACUGCAACUAGGCCUCGAGCUGCUUCAACUGCGUGUGAUAUCGAGAUAUAGCAUGACUUACUAACCAGGUUAGUUUUUAAUUCUACUGUUUUAAAAAAUCACAUAAUCCCAAGCCCUUUUUUCAUUGAAAUUUCCGGAUAUGCAUACUGAUUUGGUUUACCAAAUUGCUGCAGCCCUAAAGAUGACUUGAGUUUCCGGAUAUUCCUAUUGCUCUGCAUCUUUUAAACCUUUUGUCUAUAGUUAGUUUGAAUUUUGACUCUUUAACAAGUGUACUGACACAUGUUAUAUUAUCAUAUUUCUUCCUUUCAGUCUAUAUGUGAGAAAAAACUGUGAAGAAGCUUGCAAGAUUGCAGCACCUAUAUUCUCAAUUGGCGGAGAAGCUGAGGAGAGAAGAUGACAAGGUGAGAUAAUAGUAUUUGAAUAAUUUUACAUAGCAUGAUCAUCUAGAUAGCUUGAAGUUAAGGGUUGUGAAUGUUAUCUCCAGGUUUUUCUUUUCUUCACAGUUGGUUUGACUCCUUUGUGUUUUUAUCUACAGUUUAACGUCAUCUUGGCUGCUCUGCAUCCAACUCCAGCUGUUUGUGUGCUUCCAGCAGAAGAAGCCAGACUUUUGAUCAAGGAAAUUGGUGAAAUAUUAGCUGUUUGUAACAUAUUUUUAUAAAUGCACUUCUCUACAACCAGAGCCAAACCGGUCAGAUUGUAAGCUUGCCUCAUCUCUGGGAAGAGGAGCUCAUGUCCUAAACUAAAGAAUUUUUCAUUAGGUUGCAGUAUCUGUAUCUGUUUUUUUUUUUCCAUCAUAUCCACCAUCAACUAACUUGAGUAUAGAUGUUCCGAAACAAUAACAAUGAGGAAAAAGAAGGGCUUUAUGAUUACCGAUCCUGUGAAGAUUGAAAAUAUAGUUAUGAAUGUGGUCUCCCCGAAUCCCCAAAGCAGCUUGAGCAGUAACGAAGUGGGAAAACAAAGCCUCAAGGCUUUUGCUGGUCAGGUAUUGUAGAUAGGACGAGGCCUUUGAUUAAUACAUUGCAACACGUUGAUGGUACCAAAAUAAUUAUUACUUGAUAUAGCAUUCACAAGAAUGAUUUUUCUGGUUUAAUCGUAGUUCUUUUUCAAGUACCCGUCAAUUACAUCUCCAUGCUGCAUAUCGUACAAGGAACAAAUAAAUUAUAGUGUGGUUAUCUAACCUAAAUUAAAAAGAAUAAUACAAGUACAUUCUUUCACAACUUUUCGUGGCAUUUCAACAAAGAAAAUUCCAGUAAUAGCCGAGUUAACAUGAUAGAAAUAUAACAAGCAUCAUAAACUCACUUUUAAUUAAAAAAAUUUUAGUAACAUAUAUUUUGAAAAUUACAGUUGUUUUGUGUAUAACAUAAUUCAUUUCAUUUUCAAAUAUGAUAGCAAUACAAAAUUUGAACAAAAAAAUUAAAAUUUCAAAAUAUGCAUACCUAACUUAACCUUUUUUUUCUAUAACUGUGAAAACAAUUAUAUCGCAAUAAUCAAAGUUCUAAUUUAAAUAUACAGAGGAAAUACUAAUUGUGAUUAAGAAACAAACAUAAAUUACUGAGAAAUAGUUGAAGUUAACUCACGACAAAAAAAAGAAGUUUAAGUUAACUCAGUCGACGAUAAUAUUUUAAAAAUAUUAUAUUUGUUAUCAUAUUCAAAUUAGAAAAGACGUUUACAAAAAUGAAUAAAAUAUUUUCAUAGUGAACGUGGUCAUCUAUAAUAGAGCUGGGUAUAAAAUCCGACACCAAAUCCGUUGAUUCAAAAUACUAGAACCUAAAUCAGGUUAGAUCUAUAAAAGUAUUGAACGGAUAUUAAGUUGGAAGAGAUUAGAUAACUGAUCUCGAUUAGAUAAUUCCCAAUAUCUAAAGGUAAUCCAAAUAUAUCUGAAAUUAUAUAAGGUGUCACCCUUGAAUAUAUUUAUUUCCUCAAUUUCAAAUAUUAUGUGUCUUUUUCUGAUAUAUUAAGUAUUUUGAUAAUUUAAAAUUAAAUUAAAUUUAUCAAAUCAAAUUGUUAGAAAAUAACAUGUCAUCUAUAUUAGAGCAGGGUAUAAAAUCCGGCACCAAAUCCGCUGAUUCAAAAUCUUAGAACCUAAAUCAGAUUGGGUCUGUAAAAGUACUGAACGAAUAUUAAGUUAGAAGAGAUUAGAUAUUUGAUCUCGAUUAGACAAUGCUCGAUAUCUAAAGGUAAUCCAAAUAUAUCCUAAAUUAUAUAAGAUGUUACUCUUGAAUUAGUUAUUUCAUCAAUUACAAAUAUUAUAUGUAACUAAAAUAGUGCAAGUUCACUGAUUUCAAACAAAAAAUAUAAAUCUUUGAAUAUCUACUAUGUUAGAAUAGUGAUGAAGUAUGUUCUCAUAUUUUAUACGUGUAAUACAAGGUUCAUUUCUAUCGCAACCAGAUGGAUCUACUAUGAUUAAUAAUUUUUUUUCAUGAUAAUCCAAUAUAUAAAAUAAAAAAUACUUGGAUCAUAACUUAUAUUUAACUAUUCUUUAUUCAUUUCACAUUUGCUUAUUUUUCUAUAUGUAUUUUUAUAUGGUAAAAAUGAUAAAUUGUCCUUUUUAUUUAUUUCUAAUUCAAUAUAUAGUUUAUAUUUUAUAACAAGGGAUGCCAUAUAUGUGCAUUACUAGAUUAAAUACAUUUCUAAUUAUCUAACUCCGGGCGUAGCCCGGAAAAAGUUUCUAGUUUCAUUAAAAAUGAAUAAAUAAGUUUUUAUAUUGCUUAAUUAGCUUUUAUUGGUUGUACAAAAUAGAAACUAGUUUAUAACAGAAUUUUAGAAUUUGAGUGUGGAUUUAUUUUGUUUUCAGCAAAAAAAAGAAACUGUUAGUUUUUUUUUGUUUUUGUUUUUGGCUCAACUUCAAACUUUUUAUUAACCAAGAGUUGAAUCACAUAGACACUACGUUGGAUCAUACGCUACCCGAUCUAUACCUCUUUGUACCCUUUCAACCACAACGAAAACAAGAUCACUCUUAACACAGAAUGACAUGUUUCUUAAACCACAACAUUCUACCACUAAAAAACAAGAUACAACGCAAAUUCUAAGACCUCUAAUCUAUCAUAUCAAGAGAAUUCCAAUUACUGCUCGCUGCAGCUGGUACCAAACGAUAGGAGUGAAUACACAAGACCAGCUGCAUCAUCACCAAACGACGCUUAUUCUCAUUGCAGGAAGACCGAGAAGCACAUAGCACACGCAUUGCAUCUUGUAGGUGUAGUGACGAUCAACACUUGCGAUAAUCCGUAACCAGAGCUUCUGGACUCCGUUUGAUCAAUCAAACACCGAUAAAGGGCGGGUUGUCGCUUUGGCACCAACCACGAACAAGCUCGAAACCCUGCCACACCGAAGACAAGGCAAAUCUACCGGUUCUGUCUAUCAUCGCGGUACUGCGAAUGAUUUGCCUCAUAACAUGAACCACCGAGAACUUAAACACUUUCGAUGACCAAUCGAAAGGUCUGAGUCUCUUCACGUCAUGUCUCUAAGAACCAGAGAAUCAGCUUCUUCUGCAGGAAUGAGCCUAGUCGUUGUUGUAGCAUGACCGUCGUUUGUCCAAGUAGAGCUCCAUAAACUCCUAGCCUCCUGAAGAACCAUAGACGAUCCUUCUUUGUUGCAGGAAUCAAGAACGCACAUACCUCAAGAUCCCAUCAGGCUGACACACAUCCACCUUUUGGUCUCAGAGCACGCCUUCAAAGAUAAAUCUUCAAAGUCCACUUGGGCGAGAAGUUGGCUGAAGCACCACCAAAGCUCAGAUCUGCUCUAGUCAUCAUCACACACGCCGCUCCUCGUCCAGAUCCGAACCUCAAGCCAACCACACCCAUCCAGCUUUCAGAUCUGCAAGACAAAUCCAAAGCCACACGCCGCCAUAACGAUGUUGGGAGUCUCCAUUCAAAGGGAAAACGAAUGUCUCCUCAUCCAAUAAACCCUAAACGCCGACCCAAUCCUGCCUCAUUUACCGACUCGCCGCCGUUCCAUAGAUUCGCCGUCACCGUGUCUAGCUACACUCCACCGCGGCCAGAGUAGAGCUAGGAGCUUCAAACAAAACACAGAAUCGUCGAGCAUCUCGCCGGUAGGAAGAGGAGUUUGAGGAGAGCAAAGAGAAAACGAGAGGGAAAGCGAAAGAUGCAUCCGACACCGGGAGUGGGCUCCGACCGUCGGGGGAUCGCCGCAGAGAUUAGGGUUAGUCCGAAGGUUCGAGAGAAAAGUGUAUUUUUAGAGAAACUGUUAGUUUUGUUUUGCUAGACUAGAGAACUAAAAGAGAUUUUUCUAAAAUUAAAAGAAAAUAGUUUUUUUUGAAUAAAACAAAAUAGUUUUCUUUUAUACAAAACUAAUGAGAAAAAGAGAAGAAUACAUAUAUAUAUAUAUAUAUAUAUAAAUGCUAAAUCCACAUGUUAUUCUGAUAAAUUAUUUAUUUUUGUUACAAUGUAAAUUUUUUUGUUUUAAUAAAUUCUGUUGUUGAAUAAAAAUGAGAGAGAUGUGGAGUGAAAGAAAAAACAAUGUUUUUAUUUUUGCAUGUCACAAAAAUUACAAAAAAAAAAAAAAAAAAAGCAAAAAGAAAUUCAAAUCUCUGGUAAAGAAUCCACUUCUCUAGUAAUCUAUCUACUCCUCUCUGUUUUUAGUUGAUUUUUGUCGGACUUUAAGAGAAAGAGAAAGAGAAAGUGGCCUAUCUGUGGACUUUCUCUCUAUAGAGAGAGAGAGAGAAGCAAAGAGGAUUCGUUCGUUUACUUGCUCAAAGCUCGAAACUUUCUAUCUCUUCCUCGUUAUUGGGCUUUGAUCAGCUUUUUUGAAAUCCGGAGAAAAGGAACUAUCUUUUGGUCUCUGCUCGAAAUCAAAAUCUGAUCUUUCUUGAGAGAGUCUUGCUCCGAUUUGGAUCUCGAUUAAGGUUUCCUUCUGCUUGCAGUUAGAUCUCGGGGUCGUGUUAGCGAGGAAUUAGGGUUUUAACCAUCCUUCUUCAUUUCUCUGUUGAUUCGAGGGGAUGGAGAAGCUCACAGGCCGAUGCUCGCUGCUCUAGCAUUCCGAUCAUGAAGAUGAACAUGAAGAAGUUUCUAAAAAAGCUGCGUAUCAAUCCGAAUCAGCGAGAAGACGGGGAAGGCUCGGUCUCAAACAGGAGCAACAAGUCGAGUGAUGCAGAGCCAUCUCCUUCUGAUUCUUCGAGGUCUCAGGAUAGCAAGAACAACCCUGAGUUCAAACCCUUUGCGGGAUUUUCGAAUUGGUUAAGCUCUGUUGCUCAGAGGAGAAGCUCUAGCACAACAGCGUCUUCCAAUGCUAAUAAUAGUAGCACAGGGGAUGAGGCGAGCUUGGAACGUGGUGCUCCUGUUGUGUCUGAAUCCGUGAUGAAAGAUUUGGGUUCUGGUACUUCCAAGGAUCCUGAGGUUGAGGAAGAGUAUCAGAUACAGCUGGCUCUUGAGCUAAGUGCUAGGGAGGAUCCUGAAGCUGCUCAGAUUGAGGCUAUUAAGCAGUUCAGUUUAGGUUCUUGUCCUCCUGCUCCUGCUCCUGCUCCUGAGAAUUCUCCUGCUGAGCUCAUGGCUUAUAGAUACUGGGUAAGGAUUUUGACUCAUUGCCAUAAUUAGAAAUGUUUCAAAGUUAUCAUUUUUUUUCUGCUAGAGAGUGAUAGAUACAAGAAAAGCUAAAUUGAUUAUCCUCUAUAGAAUUCUAGUGAUGUGUGUUAUGAUACAAGAAUCCACCUCAAGGCAUUAUAUAUGAUCUGUAAUUUCGAUGUUUUUUUUGCAGCAUUAUAACUGUCUUGGCUAUGAUGACAAGAUCGUGGAUGGUUUCUAUGACUUGCGUGGAGUAAUCAAUGAAUCUUCCUUAGAAAAGUUACCUCCCUUAGUUGAUCUUCAGGGGACACUUGUGUCAGAUGGUGUAACUUGGGAAGCUGUUCUAGUGGACAGAAGCAAAGACUCUAAUCUGUUAAGACUUGAACAGAAGGCUCUUGAUAUUGCAGCGAAAUCAAAGUCAGUGUCUUCUUCAGGCUUUAUGAACAGUGAAUUGGUGAGGAAGCUGGCGGUUUUAGUUGGAGAUUACAUGGGUGGACCUGUUGUAGACCCAGAUAGCACAUUAAGAGCUUGGUGGAGUCUGAGCUACAGUUUGAAAGCAACCCUCUGUAGCAUGGUUUUGCCCUUGGGUUCUCUAACUAUUGGAUUGGCUCGUCACCGCGCCUUGUUGUUCAAAGUAUGUACCCUGCUCUCUCUUACUUUUAUUUUGUGUUAAAAUUAGCAUAAGAGGGGAAUUAAUUUUUAAUCUGGUGACCGUUGAUGCUUCUUACUAGUUUGGUGCAUGUUCCGUUGAAAUUUUGCGCAAAAGUCCCUAGUUUGUAUGACUUUACGCAUAUUACAGACAAAGCUUAUUGCACCUCUAAAACGCGUGCGGUGUUUUGUUUCUUCUUUCUUAUGAGACUUUGUAGGUUUUGUGUGAUAGUGUUGGUGUUCCUUGUCGAAUAGUCAAAGGACAGCAAUAUACCGGUUCAGAUGAUGUGGCAAUGAACUCCAUUAAGACUGAUGAUGGCAGGUGACGUUCAUAUUCAAUAAAAUUCGUUAUCUAUAUUUAUCAAUUUCUCUAACACUUGUAGAGGAGAAUGUGUGUAUACGUAAAACUGAACAUUGGUGCAUAUGGAUUUGGGUUUGUGUUGUACAGCUAACUCGCAUCUCUCAAAGUUCAAAUCUAAUAUAGAGGCUAGAUAAAAAAAAUAUAAAAUGAAAGCAUGAUUGACUGUGUUUUUGGCUUGUAUUGUGAUUAUUUCUGCUGGAGUUGCAAUGUACUUCCCUAAUUAAUGGAAAUGUGAACUUCAGGGAGUACAUUGUUGAUCUCAUGGGAGAUCCAGGCACCCUCAUCCCCGCUGAUGCAGCUGGACUACAAAUGGACUAUGACGAUUCUGUCUACUCUGCUAGUCCCAGAGAUGUCGAUUCAUCUCAUGUAGCUUCUUCCAGCAGUUGGGUUGAGACCUCAUUUGAAGAGCCAGCAGAAUCUUGGUCAGCUGAACAUCCCUCUAGGACCAAGGGUUCCUGGGAGGAAAAGCAAUCUGAAGGUGGAGGAGAUCUCAUGAUCCGUCCAAAUACUUUUAAAGAAGUUGUGGGAAGUCAAAAGGCUCCAGUUCAACAUCUUUCCAGCAAACCUACUCAUUCUUUCGCUCAUGCCAGAUCGCCUUCUUGGACUGAAGGUGUUAGCUCUCCAGCUGGACGCAGGAUGAAAGUCAAAGAUGUUUCACAAUAUAUGAUCGAUGCUGCCAAAGAGAAUCCUCAACUAGCUCAGAAGCUUCAUGAUGUAUUACUUGAAAGUGGAGUUGUUGCUCCUCGGAAUUUGUUUUCUGAAGUUUAUUCAGAGUCAAUGGAGGCAACAGUUGAAAUCAAACCUGUGGCUGAAUCCAAUGAUGAGAAAGGGGAAGAUUUUGGAACAAUUCAACAAGGAAGAGUCCAGAGCAAUCUUGGUCCUGUGAGGUUUUUGCCUCCACUCCCAAGGCCGCAAUCUAAAGCAAAUACUCAUGAUCAACGUGAACAUUCAGGACCUCUCGGUCAUAUGUCUGAUUCUUCACAUUCUGAAACAUCUACCGACUAUCCCAGAAAUGUUCCUGUUGCCGUAGCUGCAGCUGCUGUUGUUGCAUCUUCCAUGGUUGUUGCUGCCGCCAAGUCAGCAAACUCGGAUUCCUCCACCUUAGAACUUUCUGUUGCUGCUGCUGCUGCAGUUGUGGCGACAGCUGCAGCAGUGGGAAGGCAGCUUGAACUAGAUUCACAAAGCAAUGAGGAUGGUGGUUCUGGUGGGCCUUACGGGCCAAGUUCAGGAGGAGAAAGAAUAUCCGACAGAUCUACUGGCAAUGAAAGUUCGAAAUCUGAUGCUGCAAUUGAUGAUGUGGCUGAAUGCGAGAUUUUGUGGGAGGAAAUUACUGUGGCUGAGCGUAUCGGACUGGGUACUGACUUAUGCUCUACUCUAUGUAGUACUGUAACAAAUAAAUAUUUUAGAUUUUAUCUUUUCUUUCUGCAGGAUCAUACGGAGAGGUGUAUAGGGGAGAUUGGCAUGGAACUGUGAGUAGCUCUUAAUUGUCUGAGAGCGAUAGAGAAGUGGAAAAUUUUCUUAUUAUUUCAAAUAACGAUGAAACUCUUGAUUUGGUAGGCAGUGGCCGUCAAGAAGUUCAUUGACCAAGAUAUUACCGGAGAGGCACUUGAGGAAUUCAGAAGUGAGGUACAAGCUUUUCCUUCUCUGAAAACUCUCCCACCCUUUCAAGUUUUGUAACAUGUUAUUUGAAUUUGAUGCAAGGUCCGGAUGAUGAGAAGGCUCAGACACCCUAACAUUGUUCUCUUCAUGGGAGCUGUAACCCGUCCACCACACCUCUCAAUUGUUACAGAAUUUCUUCCUAGGUAUUGUUAUGUUCCUUUCACAAUUCAAUUGUUUUCACGCUAUACGAUUUUGGCAUAUCUUUAAUGAUAACUGUCCCUGUCCCAUCCAUUAAUGAGUAGAGCUCAGACUCUUUCUUUGUGUACUUUCCUUGCAUCUUUUUAAUUUAUAGCUUUUCACAAAUUUGAAGAAAAAAAUUGCUUGUGCAGAGGUAGCUUGUAUAGGUUAAUCCACAGGCCUAAUAACCAAUUAGAUGAGCGAAAGCGUCUGAGGAUGGCUCUUGAUGCUGUAUUAUUACUAUUUCACUUCCACUCCUUUUACCUUUUAUGUCUAUUUGUAUCUUCUUGAUUUGUUUCUUACAAAAAAUACUUCCAACCACUGUAGGCUCGUGGAAUGAAUUAUUUACACAGCUGUAAUCCAGUAAUUGUCCAUCGUGAUCUCAAAUCUCCAAACCUUCUAGUUGACAAAAACUGGGUUGUCAAGGUCAGUAAUCCUUCCUCUUCCAUUUUAGUUUUCUCUCCAACCAAAACUUAUGUUAUCAUUCAUAUCUCUGUAAUGGCUUUACAUAUUUCUCAGGUGUGUGAUUUCGGAUUGUCUAGGAUGAAACUAAGCACAUACCUCUCUUCAAAGUCAACAGCAGGCACGGUAAGCUGCUAGAAGAAAUUCACUAGUUGCUAGUACAUAGAGUCUUAGCAUUGAUGUCUUACUUGCUAGUACAUAGAUUCUUAGCUAGGUUUUUUAAUAAUGUAUUCGCUCAUUUCAGGCUGAAUGGAUGGCUCCAGAAGUACUUAGAAACGAACCUGCUGAUGAAAAGUACGGUUUUUCUAAAGCACUUUACCCAAAGAAACAUGCUUCUAGCGUGAUCUUUUUUUUUUUCACAUGUGAUGUUUCCUUUUAAAGAACCAGAUCCAUCAUGUGAAAAACAGGUGUGAUGUGUACAGCUAUGGAGUAAUUCUAUGGGAACUCUUUACGUUACAGCAACCAUGGGGGAAGAUGAACCCAAUGCAAGUUGUUGGAGCGGUUGGGUUUCAACAUCGACGACUGGAAAUCCCUGAAUCUGUGGAUCCUCGAAUUGCAGAUAUCAUCAGUAAAUGUUGGCAGACGUAAGUAGUGUUAAUGUCAUUUUCUAUUGUAUCAUUUUUGUUUUCUUAAUGAAUUUACUCUGGUGGUCUGUAAUGGUUAUAAUCUUUUUUUUUUUUUUUUUGUUGUUAGGGAUCCAAGGUUAAGACCAAGUUUUGCAGAGAUUAUGACCUCUCUAAAGCAGCUACAGAAACCUAUAAUGAGUCCAAACGUUCAAAGAGCAACUCCCAGUACUUCUUCAAUGAUCACUGAGCAGGAGCAGUAAUAGAGUUGAAGAAGAUGACUAAAGCGGUGAUGGUGGGAUCACUAUGUGCAUGGUUUGUUGUGGUGUGCUGCCUCAUGUGUAAUUCCCCAAUGUUGUUUUUUUUUUUUGCGUAACAAACUGUAAAAAGGAAGAAGGCGAAAAAGGAAAAAAAGAAAAGAAAAUUAUUUUGGUAAUGGUGGAAACAUUGAGAAUUGAACUUGAAAGCAGGAUGGACUCUCAUGUACAAAAUUCAAAAGAAUUCAUCAUUUACCUUGUUGGGAACACAAAAGACUCGUUUAUUUCAAUGAUACUUGACUGUUAUUACUACUUACAAUGAUAAGACCUUUAGACAGUUGGUGGACUAGACACAUUUGGAAACAAAGACAAGAAAGAAACAAUUGGCACUUGUGGUGGGUUCAAAACCAUAUAGGAAAGGAUAAUGACCUGAUACCGCUGGGAGUAUGUAGUUGAGAUUGAAGGAGUCUCAACUGCUCCUGCUUUAGUUUUGAUCUCUUGUUAAAUGCUUCAGUCUGUUGUUGUAAUUGACAAAACUUUUUUCUUGUGUGGAGCUGUUUUAUGAUAAUUUAGAUUUAUAAAUUUAGAAUAUUUAUUUCUAAUAUUUGAACAAAAAAGGAAAAGAUUAUUUCUAAAAUGUUGAUAAAAUAAACAUAUGAAUAUGGUUUCGAAUGAUGGAAGAACAAGUCGUUGAGAAUAAAAAAUCAUGGAAUAAGUAUUUCCUUGGUUAGUGAUUCAGCAAAUAAUAAACAUGAGACGUGUUUCUAUGGUGAUGUAUGUAUGUAUGUAUGGUUCGCAACCACAUGAAAUUCAGCACCACUUACAUUUCUAAAAGACGGCUAGUUUUUUUUUUGUAAUUAUCUUCUUCUUAACUACGAGUCUUCGAUUACACUUUUUUUUUUCCAUUAAAGAGGAAAGGAAGAGACUUUUUCUUUUUCCUGCGAAUAGGGAAAAAAAAGAAGAAGAAUUUGGUUUGGUGGGAGAGAGAAGGAAGAAUGGUAAAGGUAAUCGAUUCCCAUUACCUGACCAUCACCGCCAUUUUCACCGUAAGUCUUCUUGUGCUCGUUUACUUCUCGUCGUUAAUCAAGAGUUAUCGAGAGUCUUAACUCUCCUAAUUUAUUGGGUGUUUCGGGGGCAGGUGGUGUAUCAAUUCAUAUUCUUCGUAAUCACAGCUCUUUUCAAAUUCGAUCAAGUUACCGACUUUGCCGGUACCUUCUUCAUCUUCAUCAUUUUUGUUCUCAUUUCGUUGACUUUUACUAACAUUGAUUUUGACUCAAAAAAUGUUUGGUCAGGAAGUACAAAUUUCGUGAUACUUGCUGUCUUGACUCUGGUUCUCAAAGGCACUUGGCAUUUUCGUCAGGUUCGUAAAUACCUCUUUUUUUCUGCAUUGAGUUAGUCUUUGUGAUUCUUAUUAUCUCUCAGGUAGUCUUGACUUCACUAGUAGUCGUAUGGGGACUUCGUCUUGGCAUGUUCCUCCUUAUGCGGUUUGUUGUUGUACCCUUACUUGAUGAUAACCACUCAUUUAUUCAUCAUACUCUGCUCUUCCCUUCUAUUUAUUUUACCAAAUUAUAAACUUGAACGCUCUCAUAUCAAAUAUGCAUCUACGAAUAUUUUGUGAGAGACAGACCUAGAGAUAUAAAUAAAGUAUUUUUGUGUGUGAAUAGGAUCCUGAAAUGGGGUGAAGAUCGACGCUUUGAUGAAAUGCGUGAAAACAUGGGGAAACUAGUAGUCUUUUGGACUCUUCAGGUUAGCUACUACCUUUGCUUUCUCUUCCAUCUUUAAAGUUUAGAUAAGAAACUAGUUCAGAUAAGAGCUCUAUGCUUGUGAUCUUAAAUCGUGUGGGUUUUCUUCUUUUGUUUCACCCUUGCCAGGCCGUGUGGGUUUGGACAGUUAGUUUACCUGUUACUCUUGUUAAUGCAAGCAACGGUGGAAGAUUGUUUCAGCCCGCAGAUGUUAUUGGUUGGACUAUGUUUGUUGCAGGGUUCUUGGUUGAAGCUAUAGCUGAUCAACAAAAGCUUCUAUUUAAGAAUCGUCAAGAAAAUAAAGGAAGAUGGUGCGAUGUUGGACUGUGGAAGUUUUCACGCCAUCCAAACUACUUUGGAGAGGUUAGUUAGUAUUGCUGAUUACAAGACUUUGGUCACAUUUCACAUAUAGGUUAAACAUUGAUGGAGGAGGGUGAUUAUGAGUUUCAGAUGCUACUUUGGUGGGGCAUAUAUGUGGCUUCAUUGCCUGUUCUUAAAGGUGCAGAGUACCUUGUCAUAGUUGGACCAAUCUUUCUCACUUUGCUGCUUUUCUUCGUUAGCGGCAUACCAUUACUCGAGGUCUCCUCUCUCUCCCUUCUUCCUCCUCUAUCUUUCCAAUUUCUGAAUCACGCAGAAGAAGUCAACAUUCUUAUUUUGUAUGAAUGCAGGAAUCGGCAGACAAAAAGUACGGUAACUUGGGAGCUUAUAGACACUAUAAGAAGACAACCAGGUAUCAUACGAGCUCUUUUAACCCCAUUAAUGGCCCUUGAUAUGUGUAGUAUUAGAAUUAAGAGUCAAGUGUUUGCUCUUUCAGUUUUUGAAUCUUUGGAUAUUGUUGGUUUUACAGUCCCCUGAUUCUGUUACCGCGAGGAGUGUACGGGUACUUACCAAGGUGGUGCAAAACAGUCUUUCUCUUUGAGUUUCCAUUGUACAGCAAGAAUCUCCCUCAAGAAACUACAGUCUGGUGAGUCUCCUGAAUCAUUCUGUUUUGUGUGUGCAUGUCUUUGUGUCUUUGUAACCCUACAAGGUUUGUCUUAUGGGCUAAUGAGCUUUUUGCAAUUUUCUUACGCGCAAGGGAUAGAGGAAACUCAAAAAAGAAGCAUUGACUGAGGGAGAUGAUUACAGUCUGUACUCACAUGUUCUGUGUUCUCUCAUGAUCAAACUCUCUUUUGUAUAGAUUCUCAUUCUGUCUUCAGAUAAUUGUUGAAACGUGAUUGAUACAUUGAUUGAGAAUACAAUAAAGAUUCAAAUCAAGCUCCAAAAAUGUUGAAAGGAGGAACAUUACAUAUGAUUUAAAAAGUAAUUUCUUUUAACGUUUCUAAGGAAAAAGCUAUUGAAGGGAACUAUUAUUGAAAUUCUCUAAGGAAAUAACUGCACCUGAUCUGAGUUCACUUGAGGAAGAAUCACUGGAAUGAGAGAGUAAAAUGUAUAGCACCCAGAGAUGAAGGCAAACCAGAUAGACCAAAGCCCAGACUUUUGCAGUGGGGUUUCUACGCAAGAAGACAGUUCCAGAGACGAAUAUAGCGUUUAGUUGCAUCACUAACCAUCCCAAAUGUCUCUUGCCUGACCUGAUUUUAUCUUGAAAAGCUGGUUUGAACUUUGAUCCUGACAGUUUCCAUUCUCCUGCUUCAAGAUCUUGGGACGAGGCUUCGGUUGCAGACAUACCUUUGUUUUCUUCUAUAAGCCUUGAUACGGCCUGGCAAAGAAAAUCAAAAUUGGGUUGCUUGUAAAGAACAUAUCUUUCUUUUUGGGGGCAGAUUGGUGGUAUUUAUCAAUGUUACCUCGAUUCUAAACGAUAUAGUUGCUUUCUCUGAGGAAAGUGCUUCGACCUGGUAAAUUUAGCAAGAGAGUUAGUUUUGUCUGAAUUCUCUUUAUUUACAGUGGUGGUCAUAUAUACCUGGGAUUGUUUUUGAAUAAGAUGGUCAGUUAGCUGGUCAAGUCUUCGUUUCAGUUCAAUUUCCACUUCAGUUGGUUCUUCGAGUUCUUUCCUCAUCGUAUUGAUGUCUGCUUCCAGUUUAUUUGCCUAGAGUUUCAACAAGAGAUAAUGAGAGAUUUGCCUUGAAAAUCUUUAAGAAGAAACAGUGCAAAAGCUCUAUCAUUUAUAUUUAAUUCCUAACCUUUCAUAUAAAACUAUAAAGCUGCAUAUAUCAACUGGGAUUAAUCAUUCCAUAUGAAACCCAAAGAGUAAGUUAAUUAGGCAACUAUGGUAGCUAACCUUAUCUUGUAACCACCCGAUUUUAUCAGUCAGCAAAGAAAUCUCUGCUUCAAGCAUCUGGUGUUCGAACAUAUCUCCUCUAGAAGCAUCCAACUACAUAAUACGCAGAUCAUGAUUCUCAUACCCAAUUAGAACAAAGAUUUCCACGCCAAAAUUCGAAGAAAGAGGAAGAGAAGAAUCAAGACACCUUGUUUACGAGAUUUCCACUUCCUCGGAUAUUAGAAGUUUUUCGCUUCAGUCCUACAUGAUAUAAACUUCUUUAGAAUUAAAAGACUAUAUAAUAGAUCAGUGAUUAUCCCCAAAUGACAGUGAGAAGUAUAACAGGGUCAUUUGGGGUGGAAGAAGCUUUCUUUUUCUUGACAUCAAGAAGCUUUCUAUAAGAGGGAAGGGUUUAGUAUAUAUAUAUAUAUAUAUAAGUUAACUAUACUCUCCGAAGAAAAAACAUAUACCUUCAAGAGCAGACUCUUUAAGCUCAACUUGUUCUCGGAGAAGUGCUACCUGAUCUAUCUGGUCACAUCAGAAAAGAAAGAGAUUAGUAAGCAAAUGCUGAUAUAAAACUUAGUGAGAAAAGCUUGAACCAAGCUUUCCAACAGCAACCAUGAACCAUUUUUACCUUUGUAAAUUCCAGCUAAUUAAAGCAAGCCACGAAACAAGAUAAAAAGAUACAAGUAAUCUCUAUACCUGAGCUUCAAGCUUCUUCUGCCCAGCAGCAAGCGAUCUUGUAAGUUCAGCGUUUGCCGCCUAAAACAAUCCAUUUUAAAUAUAUCAUCUUACUUAACACUAAUAUCAAAUUGAACAGCCGGCAAACAAAUUACGCAUUCUGUAAUACCUCUAAUCCGGCCAAGCGUGAGAAAACUUCCAUCCUAGUGUUGUUAUGCUUCUGCUUUUCAAGGUCGGCAGCUUCCAGUGUUUCCAUCAUGUUUGUUUGCAAUUCCGCAGCCUAGUAAAUAGGACAAAAACAGCAUAUACAGUUCACCUAGCUCGAAUAAUACAAACAUCAAACAUAUUAUAGAUCUUCACAGCUAUCAUAAGCACCAUGAUUUUUGCAGUUCCGGCCUAAUGGUACAACUACAUUUUUUGCUAGUGUUCAACAAUAAUGAGCAUGCCAUUUCUUAAUCUGAAUCAAGUAACACCCAUGCUUGCAUAUUGUCAGCUAAAACACGAAACAAAGUCCAAGAGCAAACUUAAGUAUCAACUACCUCAUAAAUUGCAAGGAAAAAGCUUGAUAAUUUUUUUACCUCUUGUGCCUGUUGUUUAGCUCGUUCCUCAACUACUUUCUCUAAACUCUCUUUUUCACCUUCAAGUCUCGCUACCAUAUUCUCUCGCUCUUUGAUGACCGCUACAGUUUUUGCUGCAACUUUCUCAGCGAAAACUUUCUCUCUUCUUCUCCUCCGCUCCUCCCUCUGACGCUCCCUCUCAGAGUCCGUGCUUGAAUCGGACUCAUAAUCCGAUUCAGAUUCAUCGCUGGACAAGGAAGAAUCCUUCCUCUUUAAACCAUCAGAAACAUUUCUCCGCAAAAUUUCUCCCCUCACUUGUUUUCCAGCACUCGGUAAUGGUUCCCUAGGGAGAGUCUCCUUGGCAGAUUUUGUGGAGUCAUCCAGGGAAGGUGGCUCAGCACUGACACCCUUCUCACUCUCCUUGUGAGUUGACUUCACAAAUAUAUUCUGAGAAACAUUCUUAGUAUCAGAAGAGCUAGCACUUGGUUCCUUGUUCAUCUGUUUUUGUGACUUCGCUCUUGAAUCAACCACAUUACCACUAGUCUUCUCACUCCUCUUUGCAUCAGACACCGAAGGACUUUUCCCCCCAUUCCCUUGCCUUUUUACAUCCUUCUUCAAUCCCCGAAUCACAGAUGCUCCACGGGGAGUACGAGGCUUAGGAGUACUGGUCCCCUGAUUCGGAGGAGCACUCAGAAGUUCAGUCCAGUCAGCGUCAGUGAGUGUAGUAGGUUUCUCUUGUUUCAAACUUUGUAACGGUGAACUCGUUGUCUUUUCUCGGGAUUGAUCUGACUUGCGUAGAUUUUUACUGCUACUUAAGUAGCUAGGCUUUUGCUCAGUUGAGUUUCUCUGAGAUCCACCACCAGAGUCACUACCAUCAUACGUUUUCUUCCUCAACUGAUCUUUCAAAGAAACGGGACUUGAAGAUUUCGAAGAGGUCUCGAACACCUCUUCAUGUGUCUCAGGCUUGUCAUCUUUUCGAAGAGACUCUGCUGCCUGCUGAUCGAUCUGAAAGUAAAAAAAAAAAAAACACACAUUUUUAUAAAAUCCCCAGUUAAGUACAUUCCUUACCACUACUAUACAUCAAUUAAGAUCCAUGAAGAAUCUUGAGCAUAUAUCUGAUAAGGGGAUCACUCAAGUAAAAAAACAAGUGAAUUUUUUGAGCUAGACAUUUCAAUUUCCCAGAUGGUGUAAGAAACAACAUUGCAUAUUGAUUUAAGAUUAGUUCCGAGCUUGGAUCACGUCCAUUUGAGAUGAAGAUCUUUAACCAACGAAACAAUAGAGUGUAACAUGGAGAUCGAAAUUCAAUUAGAACCUAACGUCUUCCAAAUCGGAUGAUUCCAUCCAAAUGUUUCUUCCGUUUACUAUACAUACAAUAGUACCUGUUGAAGAAUGGUUUCGGCGGCUUUGAGCUUCGACGAGAUCCAAUUCGCCAUUUUCUUCACUGUCCUUUUUAAAAAUUGAGAUUUUAAAGAGCAAAUGCUUAGUCACCCAAAGUGAUCCUGAAUUAGUCUCAUCCCAUCGGAGAAGAAGAAGAAAAGAUUUGGAGGGUGUAAAUUAGCUAACCCAGAAAGAAACUCCACACCAACCAAACCGAAUCCGGUUAUGUUUUCCGGUUCAAGAUUAAUUUGUCUGUUGGUUCAAUAAUUUCUUUAUCGUUUCUUCUGUGGUAUUCAACGUUUGGGUUUUUGUUUUUGACUUUUGACCGAACUCACGAAGGGAUAGGUUUGAUUUGUAAACGAGUGCAUAAAUUAAACAAAAGAUAGCUACUUGGGCCAAAAGCAGGCUUUAUAAGAAUUCACAAACAAGUUGAACUUUUUUUUUUGCCAUGCGAUUAUUCCUUACUCGAAGGAGUAUUGGAAUUCCACAUCUCUUUAUAGGAUUCCUUUCUUUUUAGCCUCCAUCCUUUUUCUUUGGUGCCCAAUUGGAUUCUCUUUCUCGAGUUGCUUAUUAUUACACGUGAAUAACAAAAAAUGGAUUCACGCGCAGUAUUAUGUUUUAUACAAUUAUACUUGUACAACUUUCUAUAAAAAAAAUUAAUACGAAAAGGAAACGAAAAUAACAAUGCACAGUAGUAAGGUCGCUAAUAUAAGAGCAUGUUUAAUGCAGAUUCUGAAGUGGGUCUUUUAGCCCAAUCUAUAUUAUUAAAAGAAAAAAAAAAUUGAUGAAAACCUAAGGCAUGUCUCUUAAUUAAGAGAGUUAAGACACCUCUCUUAGGAGGCACGUGUCAAAACAUUACCUAAUAGAGUUUGAGUUUGUUGAUUCAUUCAGUACAACAAUGAGAAAAUGAACAUUCACAGACACGCACAUGCACAAGUGUUUGUUUUAAGAAUCCCUAAUAGAGUUUUACCAUUGGAGCUAAGAAAACAAAAUUACUUUAACAAAAUCUCUUGGCAAAAAUUUAGUAAUUAAAUAUUACCUAAGAGAUCCAAUAGUAUCUUUCCAAUUGAAGAUGCUCUAAAUUUACGCGUUGACCGAGUCAAUUUGAUUCCAGCAUUCAUUAUUAGCAUAGCAACCGUAUUAUUAGAUUCAUUGAAACCGAAACCAAAACUUCCGUUUUUUACCAUUUAACAAUUCGAGUGGGGUGUAAACAAAAUUAAAUAAGACACGGAAACCUAAAUUCAAAUAUCAAAAUGAUUGAAUCAGUUUCCAUUGAAAAUUUGUAACUUUUCAAGACGUAGAAAAUCUGAUUCGGUUUCAAAGCCAGAGUAACCAUGGUUCGAAAUUAUAGCAUCGAGAAGGUAGAUGAUGAGGAAAUUAGAAAAGCAAAUCUGUUUUCAGAAGAACAACACCAAACAACGAUGGAUCGAAGUUAGACUUUUUUAUCACAUUUUUUUUUUUUUUAAAGUACCUAAAAGAAGCAUAGUAGUAAUUAUUCUUCCCAGUUUUAGAGAGGAUCCUCAUACGAAAUCUAGAAAACCCUAGGCCGUCGAACCACCGUUCGCCUCCGCAGCAGGAGCGGAUCCGUUGUUGCUGUUAGCGAGGGAGGAAGACGUCAUCAUCUUCUGAAACUCCUCGAAAUUGACAUUCCCGUCGCCGUCAGCGUCCACAGGCCCGAUCAUCUUAGUGCAGUCCUCCACGGAGCACGACAUCCCGAGGCGGUUAAGCACCUGGUGGAGCUCGGCCGCGGAGAUGAGCCCGUUCUUGUCCUGAUCGUACAGAUCGAAGGCGUCACGGAUCUCGGAAGCGGAGGAGGACGAGCGGCAGAGAGCGGAGAAUUCGUCCGCGUUGAUGAAGCCGUCGCGAUCGGUGUCGACCUCCUCCAGGACGCGGUUGAGCUCCGUCUCGGUGAAGGAAGUCCCCAUGGCCUUGAAAACGCCUCCGAGCUCGGUCACCGAGAUCUUACCGUCGCCGUUGGAGUCGAACUGGUCGAAAACCUUCUUGAGCUCCUCGGGAUUCGCCAUGUCCACCGGUGCAGUCGUGGGUUUGGCGGUUACAGGGUUACCACUUGCCAUUUUUUUUUUGCUUCUGUUAAAAGGUAAAAUGUUAGAGAGAGGUUUUGGAGAAAAAUUUGUUAGAGGCUUGUGAAUGUGUGAGCCUUACUGAGUUUGACCUUUUAUAGACCGUUUUUUUCUUCUCUAUUCCACAAGCUACGUGUUUUGAUAGCCAUUGGUUAUACAUUUUGAAUCGAAUCUUUUACGGUUUUGAUUUCUUUUCAUUGUAUUAUUAUCGAAUUUUCGUGAUUUUUUUUUGAUUAAAUUAAACACAUUUACAUAUUGUAGUACAUGUUAAUAAAAUUCUUUUACGGAUUAAGAGAUUACUAUCUCAGUUAAUAAUACGCUUUAAUUUCAUUUUUAUUAAUCAGUUGUCUUGAGUCGUUGAGAAGAUGAUUGCGCAGAGUUGGAAUCUAGGAGAGGAAGAUUCAGACAACAGCUUAUUCUCCCUCUCAUUGUUUUUCCUCUGUUUUCCUUUUUUCCCUUUUGAGUUCUUCAGUAGUGGUAAAUACUUAUAAAGUGCUCACAUCAAGGUGCACAUGUAUGUGUAUAUAAAAGUAUAUAAAAAUAAAUGACAAAUAUAUAAAGAUAUUGUUAAUUAAUAUUAAUAACAUUUUUGUUCUAAAUAAUACAUGACAGAUAAAAUUAAAACUAAUUAAAAAUUAAAAAGGCCUUGACAUUAGUAAAUUUUUUUCAUAUAAAAAAAUCAAUUGUAUCCGUAAAUAGAGGUGAACACAGAUCGAAUAUCCGAGUAUUUGGAGGCAUUCAUGUCGAUUCGAUCUUUAGUCACUUGGAUAGUCGGUGACUAUGAUAUCCGAAAUGAUUUAGAAUUUUAAAGAAUAUCCGAUUUGAUCCGUAAAUAAAAUUUAAAAAAUAAUUGAAAAAUUAAUAAUAAUGUUUUAUUACAAAAUAAAAUAUUAUUUACUUUUUAAAUUUUAAUACCUAAUAUAAUAAAUUGAAUUCAUAAAAAUAUUGUAAAACUUAUAUAUAAUAUAUAUAACAUAUAUAUAUAUAUAUAUAAUUAUGUACCUAUAUGUAUAUAUAUGCAAAUGAAAUAAUAGAUCAAAUUUGACAAUUGCUCCUAAAAAUAUUGGUAUUUGUGAUUUGCUUUUUUUAAUUGUAUUUUAGUAAUUUAUUUGCUUCGUAGAGUUACGGAUAUCCAUAUUUUUUGGUUCAAUUCAAAACGGUUAACGAAUUGAAUCAAAACUUAUAAAUAUUUUGCCCAAUUUUAUCGGUAAACAAUAAAAAUAAAAUAUAUAUAGUUUAGCUUUUGAUUCGUUAUUUGUUUUGAUUCGAACCGAAAAAUCUAAAGUUUUAUUGGAACCAUGCAUAUGAGUUUUAUAUUAAAAAAAUACAAAGUAUAUAGUGUGAACAUAUUUAUGAAUAUAGUGUGAACGCGUUAGCAUAUUUAUUAUCAAAUCAUUGUGAGGCUGCCACGUGUCUAUUAUAGUGUGAAUGCAUUUAUUACAAUGUUUCUCCUUUAAUAUAUAAGGGAUUUGUACAACUUUCUAUAAAAAAAAAAAUUAAUACUACGAAAAGGAAACGAAAAUAACAUGCACAGUAGUAGUAAGGUCGCGAACAUAAAUUUACGCGUUGACCGAGUCAAUUUGAUUCCAGCGUUCAUUAUUAGCAACCGUAUUAUUAAAUUCAUUGAAACCAAAACUUCAGUUAUUUUACCAUUUAACAAUUCGAGUGGGGUGUAAACAAAAGUAACACAGAAACCUAAAUUCAAAUUUCAAAAUGAUUUAAUCAGUUUCCAUUGAAACUUUUCAAGACGUAGAAAAAAUCUGAUUCGAUUUCAAAGCCAAAGUAAUCAUCGUUCAAAACUAUAGCAUCGAGAAUGUAAACGAUGGGAAAAUUAGAAAAGCAAAUUUGUUUGAACAAGAACAACCAAACAACGAUGGAUCGAAGUUAGACUUUUUUUAUCACAUUUUUUUUUAAAAAGCACCUAAACGAAGCAUAGUAGUAAUUAUUCUUC
rnacentral:lncRNA from 1 species